rnacentral:lncRNA from 12 species
AUGGUGAAGCUCUGGAAAACAACACAUUUCUCUCAGGCUAUUUCAGCCAUUUCUCAGGGAGUAACGGAGAACAUAUCUUCCUUUCUCCAGGACAGCCCUCAGAUUUCUGAAGACAGCAGCCAUGGUGACAAGUUGUCUUUCCAGGUCAGGUGGCUGCAAUUCUUCCAGAUUUCUCUGGUUUCCACCCUUUCUGGACACACAGCUGCCUGCCAACCUUGCACUCAAGAGAUUAGCGUACUUCCUCAACAUCCGAAUGUGAAAUGACCUGCCACAGCUGAGAGGGGAAAUUGUCAAAUUAAUCGGAAGCCAGACCUCUCAACAUAGCUGCAACAUGUGAGUGGUUGCCUCGGGUUUGCAGGUCCACCGUCUCAGCUGGGAGGUCUCAGGCACCGGGUCCUGUGGGACAAGGCCCCUGGAGGCCCUGAGACCUUUGUUCCCAUCUCCCUGCUGCUCAGCCACAGGACCCAGAGCACAUUGCAGGGAAAUCCUGCUUCAGCCUUCCUGCGGGGAGCAACUCUGUGCUCAGCUCCCUGCCGGAAGCUGCUCCUCUUUGGUCUGUUUCCCUGCCCCUGGUAGCUGUUUCUACUGUGGAGCUGGCAUGGUUUCCCCUUAAUUCUUGGGGUGCCAGAUAAGACCUGGGUAUGUAGAGAGGACCCUGAAGUGCAACACAUUGGUUACCUAAGCCCCGAACAUAACGCUAAGAGGCCUGCAGUUGGCGCUGCAGCCCGAGGUGGCGUGCAGUCUGCAGGGUUUCCCAAGCUUAUUUGGUCUUGGAACACUCUGGUUUUAGAGACUGAUUAACAUCUCCCUCAAAUAGUGUUCAGUGGAACACAUGUAAGAAAAUGUUAUUCUAUUAUAAGAUUUCUCACACUGUAUUGCAAUGAUUUAUUUGCAUGUCUGCCUUUCCCACCAGGCUAUGAUUUCCUAAAGGGCAAGAAAUGGAUCUUAUUCAUCUUUUUAUCUCUAGCACCUAGCACAGUGCUUCUUCAUAGAGUUGGUCUCCUAAACAGCUCAUGUCAAGGUCACCAACAGUCUCCAUCUCAUUCAAAUCCCUGGUAACAUUUGGCACCUUCUUCAAACACCUUUGUUUCUUGGCUCCUAUGACACCAUACCCUCCCGGUUUUCUUUCACAAUGCCAGCAACACCCUUUCAGUCCCCCUGCAGAAUCUUUCUCCUUUCCUGUGCCUAGAGCUCCAUUCCUGAACAGCUCCUCUUCUCCAGCUACACUCUUUCCCCAGGUGACCUCGAGCACAUCCACAGCAUAAAGCACUUUCUAGAAGCUGAUGAUUAUCAUGCAUAGAUCUUUCAAAGUAAUCUUACUCUUGAGUUCUAGACUCCCAUUUGAUAUUUCCUCUUAGAUGUCAAUAUUUAACGAAUCUCAAACAAAACUCUUGAUUUUACCCAGCAAACCUGUUCAUCUUCUGGUCCUUCCUACAUUCAUAAAUAGCUCUUCUGCUCCUCCCCCUGCUCUUUUUCUCUUUCUCUCAAAUAAAUGAAUACAAUAUUAAACA